GAUGAACGCUGGCGGCGUGCUUAACACAUGCAAGUCGAACGGAAAGGCCCAAGCUUGCUUGGGUACUCGAGUGGCGAACGGGUGAGUAACACGUGGGUGAUCUGCCCUGCACUUCGGGAUAAGCCUGGGAAACUGGGUCUAAUACCGGAUAGGACGAUGGUUUGGAUGCCAUUGUGGAAAGUUUUUUCGGUGUGGGAUGAGCUCGCGGCCUAUCAGCUUGUUGGUGGGGUAAUGGCCUACCAAGGCGUCGACGGGUAGCCGGCCUGAGAGGGUGUACGGUCACAUUGGGACUGAGAUACGGCCCAGACUCCUACGGGAGGCAGCAGUGGGGAAUAUUGCACAAUGGGCGCAAGCCUGAUGCAGCGACGCCGCGUGGGGGAUGACGGCCUUCGGGUUGUAAACUCCUUUCGCUAGGGACGAAGCGUUUUUGUGACGGUACCUGGAGAAGAAGCACCGGCUAACUACGUG
rnacentral:rRNA from 1 species